rnacentral:rRNA from 1 species
UGAGGAAUAUUGGUCAAUGGGCGAGAGCCUGAACCAGCCAAGUAGCGUGCAGGAUGACGGCCCUAUGGGUUGUAAACUGCUUUUAUGUGGGGAUAAAGUGCGUGACGUGUCAUGCAUUGCAGGUACCACAUGAAUAGGACCGGCUAAUUCCGUGCCAGCAGCCGCGGUAAUACGGAAGGUCCGGGCGUUAUCCGGAUUUAUUGGGUUUAAAGGGAGCGUAGGCUGUCUAUUAAGCGUGUUGUGAAAUAUACCGGCUCAACCGGUGGCUUGCAGCGCGAACUGGUCGACUUGAGUAUGCAGGAAGUAGGCGGAAUUCAUGGUGUAGCGGUGAAAUGCUUAGAUAUCAUGACGAACUCCGAUUGCGCAGGCAGCUUACUGUAGCAUAACUGACGCUGAUGCUCGAAAGUGCGGGUAUCAAACAGG